ACGGGGGGAGCAAGCGUUGUUCGGAUUUACUGGGCGUAAAGGGCUCGUAGGUGGCCAACUAAGUCAGACGUGAAAUCUCUCGGCUUAACCGGGGAACUGCGUCUGAUACUGGAUGGCUAGAGAUUGGGAGAGGGAUGCGGAAUUCCAGGUGUAGCGGUGAAAUGCGUAGAUAUCUGGAGGAACACCGGUGGCGAAGGCGGCAUCCUGGACCAACACUGACACUGAAGAGCGAAAGCCAGGGGAGCAAACGGGA
rnacentral:rRNA from 1 species